ACAAGGUUUCCGUAGGUGAACCUGCGGAAGGAUCAUUACCGAGUUGAUUCGAGCUCCGGCUCGACUCUCCCACCCCAUGUGUACCUACCUCUGUUGCUUUGGCGGGCCGCGGUCCUCCGCACCGACCCCCGUUCGGGGGGCCGGCCAGCGCCCGCCAGAGGACCACAAAACUCCAGUCAGUAAACGUCGCAGUCUGAGAAACAAGUUAAUAAACUAAAACUUUCAACAACGGAUCUCUUGGUUCUGGCAUCGAUGAAGAACGCAGCGAAAUGCGAUAAGUAAUGUGAAUUGCAGAAUUCAGUGAAUCAUCGAAUCUUUGAACGCACAUUGCGCCCCUUGGUAUUCCGAGGGGCAUGCCUGUUCGAGCGUCAUUUCAACCCUCAAGCUCUGCUUGGUAUUGGGCUCCGUCCUCUGUGGACGCGCCUCGAAGACCUCGGCGGUGGCGUCUUGCCUCAAGCGUAGUAGAAAACACCUCGCUUUGGAGCGCACGGCGUCGCCCGCCGGACGAACCUUUGAAUUUUUCUCAAGGUUGACCUCGGAUCAGGUAGGGAUACCCGCUGAACUUAAGCA
rnacentral:rRNA from 1 species